rnacentral:lncRNA from 1 species
UGACUUGCACCUUAAUGGCUAAGGAUGAUGGAGCUUGAACUUGAACGUGGCUAGGGCCUCUAAGGCACCUGCUGUCUCUGUCUUAUCAGCAAUGGCAGAAGUGCAGUGGCUGGAGCAUCCCAAGGGUACCUUCUGCCAUCCCAAGGGUACACGGUGUAUUAAUCUGUCACAGUCAAGUUCAGAGGUGGCCUCGGAAGCCUGCUGCUCACAGCCUUCUCUGCGUGCGCAUUGGAGUUGGUUUUCCCCUGGGCUAACCUACAAUGGAGACAGUACCAACAAACCCACCAAUGCAGCUGAAACAAAACAAGACUUUAUCCGGGCAUUAGUCUAGGCCGCCUAGGAGAGAAGUGGUUUGUGGCUUAGAUUUGUAAGGGACGUGGCAUCUCCAGUUGUUCUAGGCCAGAACAGAUCAUCACAGCUGGAGUCUUUGUUCAGAUCUCAGGCAACCCAGGGUACUUGAGAAGUUUAAGACAGAUAGCAUUACUAGAGAGGUUUGUUUGGUUGGCUUGCUUUUUACAUUUUCAUACUUUUUCUCCUUAACUCAUACUCCAAACAUUCCAUUACAUGGCGCUAGGUGUAGUGACGGAUAUUAAGAUGGUGGCCAGUGAAUACUUGCUAAGAAAAGUAGGCCAAAGGCAUCUGUGUCCAAAUAUGCUGAACCGCUCAGCCCAAGAGCGGGAGGGAUGAUCAAGACAGAAGGACAGGUAACACCUGGGAUUCACACAACACAUUGGCUCUUAAAGUCACAUUUUCAAUGUCCUUAAAAAACAAAAUGCACAGACACAGACACAAUUAAAAUAAGUCUUAAAAGAAAAAAUUUAAAAAUGCAAAAAUUAUAGUGGCUACUGCUACUGUUCUGUCCCCAGGAUGUCUUCCACAAAGAGGGAAUGGAAGCCAAAGCAGGGUUUUGUGUGCGUCCGGAGCCUCCUGACCAAUAGCUGUGAUUCUUCUGGCUUUAGAAAUAACCCAAUGCCAUCUCUCCAGUGGCUUUGCCAACCCACAUGAUACCUAUUUCUCAUUACCCCCAAUAACGAAUAUUUAGUCUGUGACUGUUGUGUAUACAGGGUGAUCUCGUCUCAAUAACUAUUUAUAAGCAACUUAAAAGCAAGGGUGGGAUUAGGAGGUAUAUAUAGCUCGAUGGUAAAGUGUUCUUUAGCAUACCCAAGGCCCUGAGUUUGAUCCUUAGCAUAGGAUCAGAGUGAAAGGGGCAAGGGCAAGCAAGAUGUUUGUGGUGGUGGAGGUGGUGGUGGUGGUAGUGUGUGUUACUGUGUGUUACUGUGUGUGUGUGUUUCUCUCUCUCCAUCAUGUGUAUAAUAUGGCAUGUGUAUAGUAAAUAUUACAUGUAAAUAUUCACCAUAUUAAAAGCUAUCUGUAAAUGC